rnacentral:rRNA from 1 species
CCUACGGGAGGCAGCAGUAGGGAAUCUUCCGCAAUGGGCGAAAGCCUGAUCUAGCCAUGCCGCGUGGGUGAUGAAGGCCUUAGGGUCGUAAAGCCCUUUCGCUGGGGAAGAUAAUGACGGUACCGGAGGAAUAAGCCCCGGCUAACUCCGUGCCAGCAGCCGCGGU